ensembl:lncRNA
GGAUGAAAAUCUUCAAACUGCUCGAUAUCUAAAUGUUCUAUUGACAAUAAGAAUUGUUCUAAAUGCUGGUAAAAAUGACCGCACAUGGUCAUUAUUGCAGUAUCUGGUUAGCUAGUCUAUAUUGAUUUUGCCAGGAUAUGUUAAAUCGCUCAGGUUUACAAAUACAUACCUUCACAACAGCAUCUUCUGGUUUAUCCUGGAGAUGAACGACAAUGAAAGUCAUGAUUACACAUUAUAAACAGACAAAUAAACCUAUUCAACUUGUACAAUAUAUAGAAAAUACAGAAGGGAAGGCCCGAUAAUGCUGCUGAUAAUGAUAUUAACAUUGCAAAUUCCAAUGUUAGGGGGCCAAGCAUCGAAGCUGGGUAAGCAAGUCUACCUUUUCUUCUUCUUAUUAUUAUUAUUAUUAUUAUGCAUCGUUGGGCCAAGUAGGAAAGCAUUUGUCUGUGACAGCCAGUUGCAAUUGGUGGUGAAGCUGUCAAACAGGCAAGUAAUGCCAUAUCUUAGUAAGUAAAUUGUCACAACACUUGCUAGGCAUGCUUACAACCAUGCCCCUGACAUGCUGACAUUAAAUUGCCAUGGCACUGUAUGGAAUUACAUAAAAAACCUUGUUUUCAGUUUUCAGCCUUUUCAGACCUUCACUAAAUCCCUUCCCUAGAUCGUUAGAGAAAUGUUUAUCGGAUGAAUUUUUUAUUUCCCAAACACUCUGUCCAUUACAACCUAUCAAGUUCAGUAGCAAAGCCACCGAACAGGAAGUGAGCUUAUAUCUCAGCCAAUUUGUGGUCAAUUGACAUGCUUGCUGUGAGUGCUUAUAGCCAUGUUCUUCACACAAUGACAUCAGGUCUCCAAGGCAACUAUGCCCUGCUGGACUGAUUGGCCCCCUCGUUGCUGCUCACUGUCUAAUUGUACGCACAUGCUCUGGAUCCUGGGAGUCUUUAGUUUUCAUAUUGAAGAUUAACUGGAACAGGUCCUUCAGGUCAAUGACUAAAGGUUCUGCCUGAGGAGGGAAAAAAAUACAAAUGUAAACAACCUAUUUGCAUUUACUGUUCUGACAUGCAUAAUGUAGUUAAGGCCAACCAAGUUGACCAGUAGUCAUAAUGUAAUGUAUACUGGCUGCUUAAUAGAUAGAUAGAUAGAUAGAUAGAUAGAUGGAUACUUUAUUAAUCCCGAAGGAAAUUUAGGUCAUCCAGUAGCUUAUACACUUAACUUAACUCACAAACAUACAUACACAAAUCACAGUAGAAUCACAGUAGAAAAACAAUACACAUAGGGAGAACAUGUUCACAGGGAGUGGGGUGUAUACAGAUAUUAUAUAGAUAUUACAGUGUGCAAAAAUUGGUUGUGUCAGUGUUGAUGUUCACGAGGAAAGUAGUGCAAAGAGUGCAGAGAGAUAGUGUUCAUGUGCUUGUGUGGAUAGUGCAAGGAUUGAGUACUUGUGCUUGUGUGUGUGAGGAUAGUGCAAAGUGAUAUAAAUAGUACAGUCUGUGCGAUGGGCUAGUAUAGCCAGUAAAAGAGUAAAAAGAUAAAAAGAUGGACAGUGGGAUGGAAAAAUUAAAAGCUGAGAAGAGGAGGGGAGACUGAGGUAGACUCAUGCAGAGUAGUCCAUCUCCCUCCCCCUCCCCUUCUGCGUGGCGUUGUAGAGUUGUAUUGCCCUGGGGACAAAGGACUUUCUCAGCCUGUCCGAUGAGCAUGACAGUGACAGGAGUCUGCCACUGAAAAUGCUCCUCUGUCCGUUAAGAGUACUGUGUAGUGGGUGGUGGUAAUAGAAUGGUAGCAAAUGGUAAAGGUGUGAUCAAAAGCAGAGCAGAGCAGAGCCAGGCAGAAGUUAGUGAAAGGUUUGCUUAAAGCUGACCAUUGUUGACCCUUGUUGGGCAAUCCCUUUAAAAUGAAUGCGGCAGACGAGAUUACAAUGUAAGAAGAUACUAAUAUGGCUAUGGGUUCUGGACAGUUUGUCAGACCUGUUUUAAAAUUGCCCUUCCACAUCCCUUAAAGUAAACUGACUGUUAUGUUGUUAUUUACUGUGUGAUUUUGAGCCUGUGAAAUAAAACUCACUUAGAUUCCAUACGAUUCCAAUUUAUUUCAUACAUUUUAUUUUUGUAAAUAUAUUACAAUGUAAAAUGUCCAAACAUAUGUAACAUAUUCAAUGUAAUAAUCUGUUUGUUUAAUGGAACACAUUAGCAACUUUGGAGUUUUAAAUGUUAUAAUAAUAUAAUAAUUAUCUGAAGUCUAUCUGUCUAGCUUGUUUUAUUUGACUGUGUAGGCUACCUGUCAUUUUAAUAUUAACCUAGAUAUUGGAUAUUAGGCUACAUAUAAAUUGAGCUGUUAGGAGAAGGUGGGACUUUUAACUUAACUUAGUGAAUAUGUUUAGUUUGUACAGAUGAAGUAUUGUAUUCAAUAUGAACUAGCAUAUGGAUUGAAGUUGCUGGGUGAAAUAGCAACCCAAAUGGCUGGAUUCGGAAAAAGCUGAGGUGGCAUUUCUUCUGUUUUACUCAACUUAAGACUACAAUAUGUGAAUAGAAAUUAUGAUGAAUGUCAUUAUUGUAUAUGUACAUCAUGGAUGACAUUCAUUAACUGCUUACUGAGCAUUCAAUUCAGGUCUCAACUCAAUUAGACUACCUCUUCCCAGACACUCGAGUCUUUCAAGGGGUUUAACCUUUUAGAACAAACAUUUCCUUCUUUCUUUAAAAGCAUACCAGGAUAUAUGUUAACUUCGAGGGUAUCCGAAAGGCACCAAAUAAAUGUGCAAUUGUGAAUAAAUACUAAUACUUUCCUCACUAGGGCCACCAAGAUAAUGUAAGUGCAAUGGGUUCUAUCUAGUGAUGGGCAAAUGAAGCUUUGGUGAAGCAUUGAACCAUUAGGCACAUUGUUUCAAAAAUCGGUUAAUUACUUGAAGCUUCAGUAACAGUGACCUCUCCUGGUGAUGUGCCAAGGCUGCAACUAAAUUAGCCCAGCUAGACAGUGGCACGAAUCUUUAAAACAAUGACAAUCUGGUGUGCACGCACCAAAUCCCCCCCCCCCCCUCCCCCCACACACACACACUCACACACACACAUGCACCCGUAUACAAAGAUUGUGAUAUAAUUAUUUUUUUUACAAAUAAAGAUUCAUUAUUUUUUGUAUAUUGUGUUAAAGAGAGAGUGCUUGGGGAAAGGAUGUGCUGGACAAAUAUGGCACAAGUUGGGUGUGCUUGUGUAACCAUGUUGGAUAGGGAACAGUCAAAGAUUUUGAUUUAAAAACAUUAUUUGUUCUACACUUUUUGGACUGAGCCUGUUGAUAUAGUCUACUUUUCCUAUAGCCUAAAUAUUUAACAGCCAGCGCACCUUAUCAUGAGCGAUCAGAAUAAAGUGUUCCCACAUGUCAGAACGACCUCUCUUCCUAGAUGCUUUCAUAAUGAUGAUAAAAUCAAUACGAACGUAAUGACUGUCACAGAAUGAGAUAGGCUACUACGAACCAAACGCAAUGUUGUGCGCGGAAGUUUUUUUGCUUUGAAGGUGCUACAAUUCAGACUCAAAACGAGGCAACUGACUGUUUCGUGUGUGGCGCUGUGAACCACUCAGCUGGUUCAUUCGGAGAAAGAAGCAGUUGCUGUUUCGCACGUAAUAUGUCACGUGAUUUUUCCGUACCAAAGCAACCUUCGAAGCAGUGGUUUUAUGGUUGGUGUAGUUUAAGGUAUGAAGCACGUUCCGGCGCUUCAGUGUCAGGCUGCCAUCACUAGUUCUAUCCUCACAUGGACAGCACCAGAUAAUGUAAGAAUGUCUGUGUGUGUCCUCACACAGAAUACAGUGAGCAGUGUUUCCCCUAGGUUUACAGCUUUGGGGGGGGGGGGGGGUUGCGGCACGGUGUGCGGCGUGGCGUGGCCACCGACACAAACGCUUAAAGGAAUCAUGGUGUUCAUGUGUUUCUAUUAAUGACAGCCAGCAGUCAAUAUAACAACUAAACAUCGGAACAUGUCUUUUUAUGACAAUUAUCCACAAAGUGUGCA